rnacentral:rRNA from 1 species
GACAGAGGUCCCGAGCGUUAGGCGGAAUCACUGGGCUUAAAGCGUGUGUAGGCGGAUCGUUAAGUGCCUUGUGAAAUCCCAUGGCUUAACCAUGGAACUGCUUGGCAUACUGGCGAUCUUGAGCCACUUAGGGGCAACCGGAACAAAUGGUGGAGCGGUGAAAUGCGCAGAUAUCAGGAGGAACACCAAUGGCGAAGGCAGCUCACUGGGACGGUACUGACGCUGAGACGCGAAAGCGUGGGGAGCAAACAGG